rnacentral:rRNA from 1 species
UAAUACGGAGGGUGCAAGCGUUGUUCGGAAUUACUGGGCGUAAAGCGCGUGUAGGUGGUCGAGUAAGUCGAAUGUGAAAGCCCCGGGCUCAACCCGGGAAGUGCAUCCGAAACUGCUCGACUAGAGUCCCGGAGAGGAAGGCAGAAUUCCCAAUGUAGGGGUGAAAUCCGUAGAUAUUGGGAGGAAUACCGGUGGCGAAGGCGGCCUUCUGGACGGUGACUGACACUCAGACGCGAAAGCGUGGGGAGCAAACAGGAUUAGAUACCCUGGUAGUCCACGCUGUAAACGUUGCGAACUAGGUGUCGGGGGUAUUCACCCCUCCGGUGCCGAAGCUAACGUCUUAAGUUCGCCGCCUGGGAAGUACGGCCGCAAGGCUA